rnacentral:rRNA from 1 species
AUUAAACGCUGGCGGCAUGCCUUACACAUGCAAGUCGAACGGUAGCGCGGGGCAACCUGGCGACGAGUGGCGAACGGGUGAGUAAAGCAUCGGAACGUGCCCUGGAAUGGGGGAUAACGUAGCGAAAGUUACGCUAAUACCGCAUAUUCUGUGAGCAGGAAAGCAGGGAAUCGCAAGACCUUGCGUUCUGGGAGCGGCCGAUGUCGGAUUAGCUAGUUGGUGGGGUAAAAGCCUACCAAGGCGACGAUCCGUAGCGGGUCUGAGAGGAUGAUCCGCCACACUGGGACUGAGACACGGCCCAGACUCCUACGGGAGGCAGCAGUGGGGAAUUUUGGACAAUGGGCGGAAGCCUGAUCCAGCCAUGCCGCGUGAGUGAAGAAGGCCU